rnacentral:rRNA from 1 species
UUGAACUGAAGAGUUUGAUCCUGGCUCAGAUUGAACGCUGGCGGCAUGCCUUACACAUGCAAGUCGAACGGCAGCACGGGAGCAAUCCUGGUGGCGAGUGGC